rnacentral:hammerhead_ribozyme from 1 species
GCAUUGCUGAAAAGCCCCACAAUAGGACGAAACAGCUGUCCAAUGC